rnacentral:rRNA from 1 species
AGAGUUUGAUCCUGGCUCAGGAUGAACGCUAGCGACAGGCCUAACACAUGCAAGUCGAGGGGCAGCAUUUCUAGCUUGCUAGAAGAUGGCGACCGGCGCACGGGUGAGUAACGCGUAUGCAACCUACCUUAUACUGGGGGAUAGCCCAGAGAAAUCUGGAUUAAUACCGCAUAACAUAUUUGAAUCGCAUGGUUUAAAUAUUAAAACUCCGGUGGUAUAAGAUGGGCAUGCGUAGCAUUAGUUAGUUGGUGAGGUAACGGCUCACCAAGACAAUGAUGCUUAGGGGGUCUGAGAGGAUAGUCCCCCACACUGGUACUGAGACACGGACCAGACUCCUACGGAAGGCAGCAGUGAGGAAUAUUGGUCAAUGGACGCAAGUCUGAACCAGCCAUGUCGCGUGCAGGAUGACGGCCCUAUGGGUUGUAAACUGCUUUUUUUACAGGAAUAAUUGUCGCUACGUGUAGUGAUUUGAAUGUACUGUAUGAAUAAGGAUCGGCUAACUCCGUGCCAGCAGCCGCGGUAAUACGGAGGAUUCGAGCGUUAUCCGGAUUUAUUGGGUUUAAAGGGUCCGUAGGCGGUUCUUUAAGUCAGUGGUGAAAUCCCAGAGCUCAACUCUGGAACUGCCAUUGAAACUGAAGAACUUGAAUAUGGUUGAGGUAGGCGGAAUACGUUAUGUAGCGGUGAAAUGCAUAGAUAUAACGUAGAACACCAAUUGCGAAGGCAGCUUACUAAACCAUUAUUGACGCUGAUGGACGAAAGCGUGGGGAGCGAACAGGAUUAGAUACCCUGGUAGUCCACGCCGUAAACGAUGAUUACUCGUUGUGCACAAUACAUCGUGCGUGACUGAGCGAAAGCAUUAAGUAAUCCACCUGGGGAGUACGUUCGCAAGAAUGAAACUCAAAGGAAUUGACGGGGGCCCGCACAAGCGGAGGAACAUGUGGUUUAAUUCGAUGAUACGCGAGGAACCUUACCUGGACUUAAAUGUAGAUUGACCGGUUUAGAAAUAGAUCUUUCCCUCGGGACAAUUUACAAGGUGCUGCAUGGUUGUCGUCAGCUCGUGCCGUGAGGUGUCGGGUUAAGUCCCAUAACGAGCGCAACCCCUAUCGUUAGUUGCUAGCAGGUAAUGCUGAGGACUCUAGCGAGACUGCCACCGUAAGGUGAGAGGAAGGUGGGGAUGACGUCAAAUCAGCACGGCCCUUACGUCCAGGGCUACACACGUGCUACAAUGGCCAGUACAAAGGGCAGCUACCUGGUGACAGGAUGCUAAUCUCAAAAGCUGGUCUCAGUUCGGAUCGGAGUCUGCAACUCGACUCCGUGAAGUUGGAUUCGCUAGUAAUCGUAUAUCAGCAAUGAUACGGUGAAUACGUUCCCGGGCCUUGUACACACU